GAUGAACGCUAGCGGGAGGCCUAAUACAUGCAAGUCGAGCGGUAGAGUGACUUCGGUUGCUUGAGAGCGGCGAACGGGUGAGUAACGCGUACACAAUCUACCUUUAAGAGGGGAAUAGCCCUGGGAAACUGGGAUUAAUGCCCCAUGGCAUCACGAAGUGGCAUCGCUUUGUGAUUAAAGCUGAGGUGCUUAGAGAUGAGUGUGCGUCUGAUUAGCUAGUUGGUGCGGUAACGGCGCACCAAGGCGACGAUCAGUAGGGGGCGUGAGAGCGUGGACCCCCACACGGGUACUGAGACACGGACCCGACUCCUACGGGAGGCAGCAGUAAGGAAUAUUGGUCAAUGGAGGAAACUCUGAACCAGCCAUCCCGCGUGCAGGAAGAAUGCCCUAUGGGUUGUAAACUGCUUUUAUCUGGGAAGAAAAGUCGGCAUUUAUGCUGAUCUGACGGUACCAGAGGAAUAAGCACCGGCUAACUCCGUGCCAGCACG
rnacentral:rRNA from 1 species